CUUCAUCAGUCCUGUCUUUAAUUCACUGGAAAACAUUAAGGGAAAGACCCUCAGACAUGUCAUAACAGGAUAAAGGCUGCAGACUCACCAAGGAUCCAUAUGAUUACUGGCAAUUUGUUGGAGGAUUUUUCUUUAGCUGCUAUCACUUCUGGAUCGUACAGAGAGCAGACAAGAAGUGAAGAGGGAGCAAGAGGAAGCGAUGGCAUCGGAGCAGACCUCAAGCUGGGACUCUACUAGAGCAAUGCAAAAGGCUGUCGCAUUUUAUUGAGAUGCUAAGUUUUUCUACUGUUACUG